rnacentral:lncRNA from 1 species
CUCUAAAAUCGAAAAAGAGAAGAGGGAACUGGCGAAGCAGUAUGGUAUGGUGCGCACAGAGGUGAGCGGAGGAGAGAUUGCAGAAGAGAUGGAGAAAGAGCGUAGGAUGUUCCAGCUACAGAUGUGUGAAGUAAGAUCCGCUCAUGUUUGUGUAAGCUGCUGUAGAGGAACAUGACAGAUGUUGUUAGAUUAAUGCUGUGAUCAGCUUAUCUGUAUUGUCAUCUGUAAAUAUGAAUGGUAAAACUUUUCCUAGGACACUAUUACUUUAAACCAGGAGUUUUUACUUUUUGAUGCCUAGCAGUGGGUGAAUAUGAUGGUCCCAUUUAUAUUGUGUAAUUUUUUUAUUUAUCGUUAUAUUAUUAAGACUAUGUUGCUUUCAAAAUUAAUAAUAAAUUGAAUAUGAAAGACUCUAAACAGUCACUGACUGUAUAUCUGCAUGACCUAACACUAUACUAUUAAAGGUUUAGGGUCUGUAAGAAUUUAUAAUGUUACGAAAGAGCUGAACAUAAAAAUCAGUAAAACUGUCAAAUAUAAUUACAAAUAUUAAAAUAACUGUUUUCUAUUUGAAUAUAUAUUUAAAAUGCAAUUUAUUCCUGUGAUUCAAAGCUGAAUUUUCAACAGCCAUUAUUCAAGUGUUCAGUGUCACAUGAUCCUUUAGAAAUCAUUCUGAUAUGCUGAUUUGGUGUUCAAGAAACAUUUCUUAUUAUCAUCAAUAUUAAGCAGUUGUGCUGCUUAAUGUUUUUGUUGAAACCGUGAUGCUGUUUUUUUCAGGAUUCUUUGAUGAAUAGAAAGUUAAAAAGCAUUUAUUUGAAAUAGAAUUUUUUAUAACAAUGUAAAAGUCUUUAUCAAUGCAAUGUGUCCUUGCUGAAUAGAAGUAAUAAUUUCUUUAAAUCUCAUUUGUUCUCCUCGUAUACAGUACCUUAUUAAAGUAAAUGAAAUUAAGACCAAGAAAGGAGUAGACCUGCUACAGAACCUCAUCAAACACUACCACUCUCAAUGCAAUUUCUUCCAGGAGUGUUUGGCUGCAACGGAAAAACUCAAGCAGUACAUAGAUGUCCUGACGGGGAUCAGCCCUCUGUGUGUGUGUGUGUGUGUGUGUGUGUGUGUGUGUGUUUAGUGUGUGUGUGUGUGUGUGUGUGUGUGUGUGUGUGUGUGUUUUAUUGGGAGGCAUGGUCAUGUGGUGGAGCAGCUAAUUUGUAUUCAGAUCACAUCUCACUUUGCAGCAAUGAAGCUCAGGAUGAGCAUGACAUUGGCCCCAAUCACUCAGUCCAUCAUAUAGAUCCCCAGUGUAUUAAUAUUUCUUCAUAUAAGCUACCAUCUUAUAAGCUAGGUCUUUAUUUUUAAAAUUGAAAAGUACUGAGGAUCCUUCACAUUCUUUGUUCAUUCUCAGCCAAAUAUAUCUCAGUGAGUAGAUUGCUCAUGCUGAGCAGCAAAUGACUUUUGGGCGAUUGUUCUGUGUCUUUAUGGCAUCCCAUCAUCCCCCAAGCUAACACAGUGCAUUCAUAAUAUUUCUUCAUCUCCUUGUACAUGCUUUGUAUAGUCAGCCCAAAUCAAUAGUUUGAAGGCUAAAAAUAGUUAAGUCGAUCAUCGCAAUACAUGCACACCCACACUGACUCACAUCUUAGAUAUAAAAUUCCAUCCUGCUGAAAAACUCUUCUUUAAACAUCCUAAUGUGGAUUAAGUUGGUCUAGUUGGACUCUUGGUCUGGUUUAUCUGGUUAACCUUCUGAUUUCCUUGCUUGACCAGCUGAUAAGCAUCCAAAAUUCCUCUUAAAGUACCUAGCAACCAGGAUUGUUUCUGUUAACUGAAACUAUUAAAACGUUUUUUAAUUGGCAUAGAGCUGAAAUGAUAUAUAUAUAACUAUAACUGAAAAAAAAAAUUAAUCUAAAUAAAUAAAACUGACAAAAGUACAAAAAGAGCUAAAAAUAUAAAAUAAACUAAAUGUAUAAUGAUAACUGGAAAUAUAAAAGUAAAAGCUAAUUAAAAAUAUAAAUAAAUAAAUGCUAUAACAGUAUAUAAAUGUAGAUCCUUUUACAUCCCAGUUUUUCAUUUUAGACCACAAAGAACCACAACAGAGCGGCUUUUGUUUGCUUUGAUCACGGCAUAUCAAGUUUACCAGCCUUCACUGCUAUACCUCACACUGACUCAGAGAAAAAUCAGCACUGAAAGCAGCUGGUAACAGUAAAUUUAUGGCUGAUAAAGCAGACAGCUUUUUUCAGCUGCAGUGAUGUUGUGAGUGACAGACAACUUAAUGAAAGGGCCAUUGUCUUACCCUAAGCCUAAGUAAUCACGCUUAGAAAAACACGGCUGGAGGAAUGUUCAUGGAUCUGUAGUAAGUUAAGUAGUGUGUGUGUGUGUGUGUGUGUGUGUGUGUGUGUGUGUGUGUGUGUGUGUGUGUGUGUUUUUAUGUAGAUCAAACAUAAGCAGGAUGAUGAGAAGAGACAGCUCUGUUCUCUCAGAGAUCAGCUCAGACCUGCUCUGCAGCCCGAAUUCAAAGAGGUAAAGAACGACACUCUAUUUGCACUUCAUUCCUAAUAUAUGUACUAUGUUGACUGUUGUAGGUGCAAGAAACCUUUGCCAACAUUUUAAGUGUGCUG